CCUUCGAUAGCUCAGUUGGUACAGCGGUGGACUGUAGCAAGAGUAGCUUUUGAGGCAAGGGAGCAAUAUGAUUAAUUGAAUGAAUUUACCCCAAAACAAUGACGGAUCAUGUUGCAAAAUUGCUCAAAGGCAAAGAGUUAUCCAUAGGUCACUGGUUCAAAUCCGGUUCGAAGGA
rnacentral:tRNA from 1 species